UAGUGUUUUCCAUCUCUAUCGAUCUAAAAUUAUAAAAUUUUAUUGACAUGUCUAAAAGAUAUAUGAUGAGGUAAUACAGAGACGAAGGGCUAUGUGACACUUAGCAGCGUAGUGUUUUCCAUCUCUAUCGAUCUAAAAUUAUAAAAUUUUAUUGACAUGUCUAAAAGAUAUAUGAUGAGGUAAUACAGAGACGAAGGGCUAUGUGACAGCAGCGUAGUGUUUUCCAUCUCUAUCGAUCUAAAAUUAUAAAAUUUUAUUGACAUGUCUAAAAGAUAUAUGAUGAGGUAAUACAGAGACGAAGGGCUAUGUGACAGCAGCGUAGUGUUUUCCAUCUCUAUCGAUCUAAAAUUAUAAAAUUUUAUUGACAUGUCUAAAAGAUAUAUGAUGAGGUAAUACAGAGACGAAGGGCUAUGUGACACUUAGCAGCGUAGUGUUUUCCAUCUCUAUCGAUCUAAAAUUAUAAAAUUUUAUUGACAUGUCUAAAAGAUAUAUGAUGAGGUAAUACAGAGACGAAGGGCUAUGUGACAGCAGCGUAGUGUUUUCCAUCUCUAUCGAUCUAAAAUUAUAAAAUUUUAUUGACAUGUCUAAAAGAUAUAUGAUGAGGUAAUACAGAGACGAAGGGCUAUGUGACACUUAGCAGCGUAGUGUUUUCCAUCUCUAUCGAUCUAAAAUUAUAAAAUUUUAUUGACAUGUCUAAAAGAUAUAUGAUGAGGUAAUACAGAGACGAAGGGCUAUGUGACACUUAGCAGCGUAGUGUUUUCCAUCUCUAUCGAUCUAAAAUUAUAAAAUUUUAUUGACAUGUCUAAAAGAUAUAUGAUGAGGUAAUACAGAGACGAAGGGCUGUGUGACACUUAGCAGCGUAGUGUUUUCCAUCUCUAUCGAUCUAAAAUUAUAAAAUUUUAUUGACAUGUCUAAAAGAUAUAUGAUGAGGUAAUACAGAGACGAAGGGCUAUGUGACACUUAGCAGCGUAGUGUUUUCCAUCUCUAUCGAUCUAAAAUUAUAAAAUUUUAUUGACAUGUCUAAAAGAUAUAUGAUGAGGUAAUACAGAGACGAAGGGCUGUGUGACACUUAGCAGCGUAGUGUUUUCCAUCUCUAUCGAUCUAAAAUUAUAAAAUUUUAUUGACAUGUCUAAAAGAUAUAUGAUGAGGUAAUACAGAGACGAAGGGCUAUGUGACAGCAGCGUAGUGUUUUCCAUCUCUAUCGAUCUAAAAUUAUAAAAUUUUAUUGACAUGUCUAAAAGAUAUAUGAUAAGGUAAUACAGAGACGAAGGGCUAUGUGACAGCAGCGUAGUGUUUUCCAUCUCUAUCGAUCUAAAAUUAUAAAAUUUUAUUGACAUGUCUAAAAGAUAUAUGAUGAGGUAAUACAGAGACGAAGGGCUAUGUGACAGCAGCGUAGUGUUUUCCAUCUCUAUCGAUCUAAAAUUAUAAAAUUUUAUUGACA